GGAUGGAUGUGAUGAACACAUCGGAGCGUGAUGAUUAAUUCGUAAGAUCGAGUCUCCUCGCUACGUUCUUUCUGAUCCAUUC